UGUGGGAGAUUUGUUGUGUUUGUACUUUUUUUGUUUUGUUUUGUUGCAAUUCUGAAUGUUUGAUCAUUUACAACGUUUGACAGACUUCCCAUCGUUUGCUUCGUGGGAAACCUAGACCUAAGAAUAUGCUGCUUGACCAGAAACAACAGAGCCUCAAGAUUGGCGAUGGGAUCAGUCAGUCUUUUGCUUUCUUUUGCGAGUUUUUAUGCUGGACAUGGUCACUCUCUGUUAUCAGGUGCUAGAGAUUUUGCUUGGGUCCACAGAUUACUCGACUUGGCGGACAUUUGGAACCUCGGCUGCAUCUUCGGUUUUCGCACGAUUUACACCUCUGCAAUGUGGCUGGAUUCUUGGACUAAGAAUGAGAUGGACCUGGGUUUCUUGGUAUAUAAAUAUGCAGUGCGCUUUGGGUUGUCUUCAAAGAGCUUUUGUGACCUUAUCACUGAUAUGGGUUCUCAUGGGUGUACAGGGGUGGAAUUAUGAUUUCUUAUUUUAAAAGUUGAUGAUUAUACUUCUUGAAUCUCCAUAUAUUGCAGCUUUUUACCAUUUGGAAUUGUAUUAAUAAGGUCAUAUCUACUAUAUCAAGUUAAUCGAGAGAUGCUAAUAUGACAUGCAAGAUGUAAUAUAUACCGGUCAUGACAUUGUUGAUGCAUGUAAGAGCAGUAAGUUCCUUUAUUUGAAUCAAUAGAUUUAACUUUGACCUCAACUAGCAACCUUCCAUGGAUACAUGUCACCUUAACUAGCAAUUUGACUUAAAUGUCUACAUUGGUAUCAUUCUUUGUCACAACAUUUCUGAUACAAUCUGUUUACUUAGGUGCUGAUCUCCGAAAGGGAAUAGCCAGAGGCUCCUCUUUCCCCUGCAAUGGAUGCUGUAAUAAGAGUAUUCAAACGUGUCGCUGGAUUAUCUGAGAGUGCAGGCGAGGCAGAGUUGUCUGGUGCUGCUGGAGUUGCAUUCUGUUCCAUCCGUUUGUUGGUAGCAUCCACACAAGCGAUUAAUUUAAUUGGAAAACAAUGAUCAUUAAUCAAAUCUAUAGAGGAGAGUACCGCUGCUUCUGUGCGAGUGUUGUCUGGAGGUAAAGGAGCUUGCAGUCCAGCACAUAAAGUAAAGUACUUUUCAGCUGUAAGAAAGUACUCAAAUUUUUGGAAGCAACAACUAAAUGAUCACCAUUGUCUUUUCGGGUAGCUAGCAGCACUUUAAUGAUCAAUUUUAAGAGAACCAUCCAAAUUGAGCAGUUUUAGUUUUUCUCUUAGUAUGAGGAGGAUUAUGUCUCCUAUAAUUUGUGAAAAUUAAAGAAGCAUAAAACAUAAUUUGAACAGGUUCUAUGAAUAUUUAGAAAAUAAAUCAUAGCAAGUACAUAAAGCAAUAGAAAAAGUUGAUGGCUUUGACCACUAAUGUGAUGAGAGAUGAUAGUGAUAAGGGCCUUGGAUUACAAGUUGUCAAAUAUUUGGCUGCCAAAUAUGAAGAGCUAGGGUGUGAAGUGAAAUGGAUGGGCAAGCCUGAUAAGGUGAUCUAGUCACAUUGGUCUGGUUACCGUUGUUAACUUCACUUCAUGUGAACCUUUAGCUUAAUACAUAUUUCUCUUGCAUUUGACUACCAAGAUGAAUUUUGAGCAAGGCUAGUUUUUGCUUUGAAGCAAAGUUUAGUGUUGAAAUUUUGUAGAUUGUUGCUCAUAUGUUUCUAGGCUAGCCUUUGUAGGUUUUGGGGUUUUCUUUUAACAUAUGUUCAAUCAUGAAUUUGGAAAGAAAAUUAAUGGAAAGCCCCAAUUUUU